rnacentral:rRNA from 1 species
GAUGAACGCUGGCGGCGUGCCUAAUACAUGCAAGUCGAGCGAACAGACGAGGAGCUUGCUCCUCUGACGUUAGCGGCGGACGGGUGAGUAACACGUGGAUAACCUACCUAUAAGACUGGGAUAACUCCGGGAAACCGGAGCUAAUACCGGAUAAUAUAUUGAACCGCAUGGUUCAAUAGUGAAAGACGGUUUUGCUGUCACUUAUAGAUGGAUCCGCGCCGCAUUAGCUAGUUGGUAAGGUAACGGCUUACCAAGGCAACGAUGCGUAGCCGACCUGAGAGGGUGAUCGGCCACACUGGAACCGAGACACGGUCCAGACUCCUACGGGAGGCAGCAGUAGGGAAUCUUCCGCAAUGGGCGAAAGCCUGACGGAGCAACGCCGCGUGAGUGAUGAAGGUCUUCGGAUCGUAAAACUCUGUUAUUAGGGAAGAACAAAUGUGUAAGUAACUAUGCACGUCUUGACGGUACCUAAUCAGAAAGCCACGGCUAACUACGUG